rnacentral:tRNA from 1 species
GCGGGCGUAGCCGAACUGGCAUAGGCGCCAGACUUAGGAUCUGGUCGGCGCGAGCCGGUGGGGGUUCGAGUCCCUCCGCCCGCACCA